rnacentral:rRNA from 1 species
UACGUAGGUGACCAGCGUUGUCCGGAUUUACUGGGCGUAAAGAGCGCGCAGGCGGUCGUUCAAGUCGAGUGUGAAAGCCCCCGGCUCAACUGGGGAGGGUCACUCGAUACUGAUCGACUGGAAGGCAGGAGAGGGAAGCGGAAUUCCCGGUGUAGUGGUGAAAUGCGUAGAUAUCGGGAGGAACACCAGUGGCGAAGGCGGCUUCCUGGCCUGUUCUUGACGCUGAGGCGCGAAAGCUAGGGGAGCGAACG